AAGAUCAAAGAUGAGGAACUCAUAUCCUACAUCUUGAUUAGUUUAGAUGAACCAUUUGGUCCUAUGGUGUCUGCAGUGGUAGCUCGCGUCGAUCCCAUCUCCGUGGGAGAGCUGUUCACGCAACUUGUGAGUUUUGAGC
rnacentral:snoRNA from 1 species